rnacentral:rRNA from 1 species
GACAGAGGGUGCAAACGUUGUUCGGAAUUACUGGGCGUAAAGCGCGUGUAGGCGGCUAUGCAAGUCGGGCGUGAAAUCCCACGGCUCAACCGUGGAAGUGCACUCGAAACUGCGUAGCUAGAGUCCUGGAGAGGAAGGUGGAAUACUUGGUGUAGAGGUGAAAUUCGUAGAUAUCAAGUGGAACACCGGUGGCGAAGGCGGCCUUCUGGACAGUGACUGACGCUGAGACGCGAAAGCGUGGGGAGCAAACAGG